AACCAUGGUGAGGGCAAAGGGCUUGUAGUUCUUUAUAUCGUUCCCAUGCUUAGUUUGUCUCGCUAUACUUUUGAGUAAAUGAGGAAAUUUGUUUUUUAAAGAC
rnacentral:snoRNA from 1 species